rnacentral:lncRNA from 10 species
UUCUAUGACAGGAGGUCAUUGUGAAGUGUGCCAUUGAGUGGGGUACCUUCCAUGGCCAGGUGCUUUGGGACAGGAUCUCAGACCCUCACAUCCACUCUGUAGACAGAGACUAUUACCCGCAUUUUUCAGAUGGGGAAACUGAGGCUCCAUGGGGAGCCGUGACCCCGCUGAGCUCUUACAGGCAGAGGUGGGAUUUCGCCAGGUUGCCCAUGCUGGUCUUGAACUCCUGGACUCAAGUGAUCCACCUGCCCUGGCCUCCCAAAGUGCUGGGAUUACAGGCUAUAUAUUGCUAAAGAAAGAAAAAGCACCAAUGGCUGAAGCUAGAGAGACCUUGCUGAGGAAAAGGGAACCAAAAAUGGGAAAUAGCGGCCUGGUAAAGAGGUGUGGCCAGAGGACAGCAUGGAGCACAGCCAGGAGAAACUGUUCUGGGUGAAGAGCCAGAUCUGCUCUGGAAUGCAGCAAAGAGCUCCUUCCUGCUUUCUCAGCCCCUGCAGCAGCUCCUGCUUCACUCCAAGAAAAUGCCAGCCCCCUAAGAACCUGUCCCUUUGGAACAGUGGAUCCAAAAGCUGACCCAAGAGACCUUGAACUUAACACCUCUGUGUCAUGGGCUCCUUAAUGAUAGAAAGAAGAUUGCUUUAGAAGACUGGUUUGCAAACCAGUCUGCUGGGCACUAGAAGCCUUGGGAAGAUUUGAAAAAUAAAUCUUAUUGGCCUCACCAUUUCACAUUCUGACUUAGAGGGUGUGGGCUCUCUAAUCUGAUUGUGUUUUUUUCUGUUUUUGUUUUUGUUUUUGAGACAGAGUCUUACUCUUUUGCCCAGGCUGGAGUGCAGUGGCGCGAUCUCGGCUCACUGCAACCUCCACCUCCCAGUUUCAAGCGAUUCUCCUGCCUCAGCCUCCCGAGUAGCUGGAAUUACAGGCAUGCACCACCACACCUAACUAAUUUUUGUAUUUUUAGUAGAGACGGGGUUUCACCAUGUUAGCCAGGCUGAUCAUGAACUCCUGACCUCAAGUGAUCCGUCCACCUUGG